rnacentral:rRNA from 1 species
GACGAACGCUGGCGGCGUGCCUAAUACAUGCAAGUCGUGCGGACUUUGCGGGAGCUUGCUCCCAAGAAGUUAGCGGCGGACGGGUGAGUAACACGUGGGCAACCUGCCUGACAGACUGGGAUAACAUCCGGAAACGGAUGCUAAUACCGGAUAGGCAGCGAAGAGGCAUCUCUUUGCUGAGAAAGGCGCUACGGCGUCACUGUCAGAUGGGCCCGCGGCGCAUUAGCUAGUUGGUGAGGUAACGGCCCACCAAGGACACGAUGCGUAGCCGACCGGGGAGGGUGACCGGCCACACUGGGACUGAGACACGGCCCAGACUCCUACGGGAGGCAGCAGUAGGGAAUCGUCCACAAUGGGCGAAAGCCUGAUUGAGCAACGCCGCGUGAGUGUUGAAGGCCUUCGGGUUGUAAAACUCUGUCUUCUGGGACGAACGGGCAGGAAAGGGAAUGUUCCUGCUGUGACGGUACCAGAGGAGGAAGCCACGGCUAACUACGUGCCAGCAGCCGCAGUAAGAC